AAGGAUCUUCUCCGCAUCGGUUCCCAAUUUAUUGGGUACCGUGAAUAUGCUAAUAGAGCCGAAGAGAAACUUGCAGAGGCUAACGAACGCGCCGACGCACUUUCUCGAAAACUUGAGCAAAGUGAGGCGGCUCGCAAGAAAGCGGACCUCGCUGCUAGCAAAGCCAAGACCGAAGCUGAUGAAGCCAAGGCGAAAGCUGCUGGUGUCGAGGAACUGCAGAAAAAGCUUAAGGAUGCUACAGCUGCUUUAGAUGAGCACAAAGCUGCGCAAGCUUCUCGUGAAGAAGGAAUCCUCAAGCGCCUGAAGACUCAGAGUCGCCGUACUUUCGUCCAAACAAACCAGG